rnacentral:rRNA from 1 species
UACGUAGGGCGCGAGCGUUGUCCGGAAUUAUUGGGCGUAAAGAGCGUGUAGGCGCCAGAAAAGUCCGCUGUGAAAACUCGAGGCUCAACUUCGAGCUGUCGGUGGAAACUUUCUGGCUAGAGUCCGGAAGAGGAGAAUGGAAUUCCUGGUGUAGCGGUGAAAUGCGCAGAUAUCAGGAAGAACACCCGUGGCGAAGGCGGUUCUCUGGGACGGUACUGACGCUGAGACGCGAAAGCGUGGGGAGCGAACAGG